rnacentral:rRNA from 1 species
AGCGAACGCUGGCGGCAGGCCUAACACAUGCAAGUCGAACGAACCCUUCGGGGUUAGUGGCGGACGGGUGAGUAACACGAGGGAACGUGCCUUUAGGUUCGGAAUAACUAAGGGAAACUUGUGCUAAUACCGAAUGUGCCCUUCGGGGGAAAGAUUUAUCGCCUUUAGAGCGGCCCGCGUCUUAUUAGCUAGAUGGUGAGGUAAUGGCUUACCACGGCUACGAUCAGUAGCUGGUCUGAGCGGAUGACCAGCCACAUUGGGAAUGAGACACGGCCCAAACUCCUACGGGAGGCAGCAGUGGGGAAUCUUGCGCAAUGGGCGAAAGCCUUACGCAGCCAUGCCGCGUGGAUGAUGAAGGUCUUAGGAUUGUAAAAUCCUUUCACCGGUGAAGAUAAUGACUGUAGCCGGAGAAGAAGCCCCGGCUAACUUCGUGCCAGCAGCCGCGGUAAAAC